rnacentral:rRNA from 1 species
AACGCGAAGAACCUUACCUGGGCUCGAAAUGUUGUGGACCGGGGUAGAAAUAUCCCUUCCCCGCAAGGGGCCGCAAUAUAGGUGCUGCAUGGCUGUCGUCAGCUCGUGUCGUGAGAUGUUGGGUUAAGUCCCGCAACGAGCGCAACCCUUAUCCCCAGUUGCCAUCAUUAAGUUGGGCACUCUGGUGAAACUGCCUCGGAUAACGGGGAGGAAGGUGAGGAUGAUGUCAAGUCCGCAUGGCCUUUAUGUCUGGGGCUACACACGUGCUACAAUGGUCGGUACAGAAGGAAGCAAGAUCGCAAGAUGGAGCAAAUCCGUAAAACCGAUCUCAGUUCGGAUUGUAGUCUGCAACUCGACUACAUGAAGUUGGAAUUGCUAGUAAUGACGUGUCAGCAAUAGCGUCGUGAAUACGGUUCCCGGGCCUUGUACACACCGGUACUA